ncrna:unclassified sequences Glutamine riboswitch
CACGUUCAUCACCUGACUAGGUGACGGAAGUAGACGAAAGUCGAAGGAACGCAUG